CCCACUCCCACCAAUCAGGAGUCAUCCGGGGGAAGGCGGUGGGACGCGGCACCUGGAAGCUGCCAGCCGAUUCCGUGACGCCACCCGCGGUGCAGGGCGAGCCGAGGAGCCGAGGGCGGUGGAAAAACACUACAUCUGUAAACAGUGUCCAUAUUGGAAAAAUGGAGAGUCCAGCCUUGGUAGAGAUGCUGCUUUCUGGAUGAUGGCCCUGGCUCCGGGUUUCACAGGAGGCAGAUGAGCUGUGUUACUGUGCCCAUCUAAAACACCUGGUGGUCCUAAUAAAGAGCUGAAUGGCCAACAGCGAGGCAGGAGCAAAGGUUUCUCCAUGCGUCCAGUCACAAGUUCAAGUCCCGAGACCCUGGAAUCCAUAUCCUCCUAGAUAGUUGGAAGUAAAGGAUAAAAUUGAUAUGGCCAUAGAGAAGAAGUGAUGUAGAACUUCCUGACACGGCUGAUCAAAUAAGAUUUUAAAAUUGGAAGAUCAUUUCAAGAGAAGACCAACCAAGGACCAUCUAAUUUUCAUUUCGCCAAGAAAAGCCUAAGUAUACAAAAGCUAUGAGUUACAAAUAUAUGUUAAAUAGAAGACAAAGCCGUAAAUGGGACAUCUGUAUUAGCCCUUCUAAGUCUUAGGAAACAUAGGGACAGGGGUGUAAGAAGGGAAGAGUGGGGAGCUCUGUGAAUCUUGUAUCUUCUGAUCAUCGCAUGGUUGUUGGAUUCAUGACCUCACAGCACCUGAACAAGAUGAUGGGACCCAUCAACAAUCCAUCCUGAAUUGGGGGGGGGGGGGCUCAUGAGUCCCCUCCUCUCCUCAAGGAGCUGUUGGCAGUCGAUGGUUGCUGGAGGAAGAGGAUCCAUUUACUCUAGUGACAUAGUUACCGGUGCACUGCACAUGUUCUAGUAAAUAACCCCACACCCAUGCUCAUAAAAGCACCCCUGCUCAGUGUCAGAGGGUCACAGCAAAACAAAACAGCAACAACUGAAAAGACUUGAUUGACAGUGGGAGGAGGACCUCCUGAGAGCAAGGAGCUCAGUGGGAGUAAAGGUAGAUGAGGAGGGUAAAGUGGUUAAAAUGACCAAAAUACUUUAUACGCAAAUAGUAGAGGUUAAAAAAGAAGAAAUAGGGGGCUGGAGAGAUGGCUCAGAGGUUAAGAGCACUGACUGCUCCUCCAGAGGGCCUGGGUUCAAUUCCCAGCAACCACAUGGUGGCUCACAACCAACUGUAGUGAGAUCUGGUUCCCUCUUCUGGUGUGCAUGCAUGCAGAUAACUGUAUACAUAAUAAAUAAAUAAAAUCUUUUAAAAAAAGAAGAAAUAAAUGGCAAAGUGUUUUUAGAAUGAAUCCAGAUCUUUAAAUUGAGUUCAUUUAGAUAAAAUAAAAUUCAUUACAUGUUCUUGCUUUUCUCCUCAGA
rnacentral:lncRNA from 1 species